UUUUACAUUAAAAGAAAGAUAUAGAAGAGGAGUCAUUCAGAACAAUCAAAAUCAUUAAGUUAAAAAAAAACCAAUAAGGUAAAACUGAAGACUGAGCACAAUCCUCAUCAAAAAUCUGAGGUGAUCUCAGUUGCUGAGGAAAGGUAUAAAACAAAUCCAGAUACAAAUAUGGUUUUAAAGAAAGGAUUAAAGCAAAAGAAAGUCUGCUUCAUACUUAGAAAUAGACCUUAUACAUGGCAUUUAUAAAAGUUGUGGAGUAUGCAUCAAGAGAAAAUCAACCCUACAAAAAAAUAAACAAUUGGAGGAUGUGUUGCAUGGACCAAGAUAAUCCACCUGCUUGCUUAAAACAUUAUGAAAGAACAUUACUUAAAGACUAUAAAAGUUAAGCCACCC
rnacentral:lncRNA from 1 species